rnacentral:rRNA from 2 species
UUGCGGUUAAAAAGCUCGUAGUUGAAUCUGUGUCCCACGCUGCCGGUUCGCCGCUCGCGGUGUUUAACUGGCAUGAUUGUGGGACGUCCUACCGGUGGGCUUAGCCUUUCGGGGCGGCCCAACUAAUAUCCCAUCGCGGUGCUCUUCACUGAGUGUCGAGGUGGGCCGGUACGUUUACUUUGAACAAAUUAGAGUGCUUAAAGCAGGCUAUUUUCGCUUGAAUACUGUGUGCAUGGAAUAAUGGAAUAGGACCUCGGUUCUAUUUUGUUGGUUUUCGGAACCCCGAGGUAAUGAUUAAUAGGGACAGAUGGGGGCAUUCGUAUUGCGACGUUAGAGGUGAAAUUCUUGGAUCGUCGCAAGACGGACAGAAGCGAAAGCAUUUGCCAAAAAUGUUUUCUUUAAUCAAGAACGAAAGUUAGAGGUUCGAAGGCGAUCAGAUACCGCCCUAGUUCUAACCAUAAACGAUGCCAGCUAGCGAUCCGCCGAAGUUCCUCCGAUGACUCGGCGGGCAGCUUCCGGGAAACCAAAGCUUUUGGGUUCCGGGGGAAGUAUGGUUGCAAAGCUGAAACUUAAAGGAAUUGACGGAAGGGCACCACCAGGAGUGGAGCCUGCGGCUUAAUUUGACUCAACACGGGAAACCUCACCAGGCCCGGACACCGGAAGGAUUGACAGAUUGAGAGCUCUUUCUUGAUUCGGUGGGUGGUGGUGCAUGGCCGUUCUUAGUUGGUGGAGCGAU